GUGGGGAAUAUUGGACAAUGGGCGAAAGCCUGAUCCAGCCAUGCCGCGUGUGUGAAGAAGGUCUUCGGAUUGUAAAGCACUUUAAGUUGGGAGGAAGGGCAGUAAGUUAAUACCUUGCUGUUUUGACGUUACCAACAGAAUAAGCACCGGCUAACUUCGUGCCAGCAGCCGCGGUAAUACGAAGGGUGCAAGCGUUAAUCGGAAUUACUGGGCGUAAAGCGCGCGUAGGUGGUUCAGCAAGUUGGAGGUGAAAUCCCCGGGCUCAACCUGGGAACUGCCUCCAAAACUACUGAGCUAGAGUACGGUAGAGGGUAGUGGAAUUUCCUGUGUAGCGGUGAAAUGCGUAGAUAUAGGAAGGAACACCAGUGGCGAAGGCGACUACCUGGACUGAUACUGACACUGAGGUGCGAAAGCGCGGGGAGCAAACAGGAUUAGAAACCCGAGUAGUCC
rnacentral:rRNA from 1 species